AUAUUAUUAGCGAUAAAAAUUUUCGUCGCUAAUAGUUCACAUCACAUCAUAUCUUAUUAUGCGAAACCCUUCUUCUCCCCCCCGUUUCACGUGAAAUCUCUUUUUUUUCCCCCUCCCCCUCUCUGCUCUCCCCCCUCUCCCCUCCGUCGCUUCUCGCCACCACGUCUGCUGCCGUCCGCAUCCACCAUCCAUCACCGUUGUCGUCGCUUCCCGCCAUCAUCGUCAUCACUACCCCUCCACUGUCGUUGCUUCCCGCUGUCUACAUUCGUCAGAGGUAACGAUUUCAAGACUUCUUUUUUUGGUGUUGAUCAGCCCA
rnacentral:lncRNA from 1 species